rnacentral:rRNA from 1 species
UUAAAUUGAAGAGUUUGAUCAUGGCUCAGAUUGAACGCUGGCGGCAGGCCUAACACAUGCAAGUCGAACGGUAGCACAGAGAGCUUGCUCUCGGGUGACGAGUGGCGGACGGGUGAGUAAUGUCUGGGAAACUGCCUGAUGGAGGGGGAUAACUACUGGAAACGGUAGCUAAUACCGCAUAACGUCGCAAGACCAAAGAGGGGGACCUUCGGGCCUCUUGCCAUCAGAUGUGCCCAGAUGGGAUUAGCUAGUAGGUGGGGUAACGGCUCACCUAGGCGACGAUCCCUAGCUGGUCUGAGAGGAUGACCAGCCACACUGGAACUGAGACACGGUCCAGACUCCUACGGGAGGCAGCAGUGGGGAAUAUUGCACAAUGGGCGCAAGCCUGAUGCAGCCAUGCCGCGUGUAUGAAGAAGGCCUUCGGGUUGUAAAGUACUUUCAGCGGGGAGGAAGGUGUUGUGGUUAAUAACCGCAGCAAUUGACGUUACCCGCAGAAGAAGCACCGGCUAACUCCGUGCCAGCAGCCGCGGUAAUACGGAGGGUGCAAGCGUUAAUCGGAAUUACUGGGCGUAAAGCGCACGCAGGCGGUCUGUCAAGUCGGAUGUGAAAUCCCCGGGCUCAACCUGGGAACUGCAUUCGAAACUGGCAGGCUAGAGUCUUGUAGAGGGGGGUAGAAUUCCAGGUGUAGCGGUGAAAUGCGUAGAGAUCUGGAGGAAUACCGGUGGCGAAGGCGGCCCCCUGGACAAAGACUGACGCUCAGGUGCGAAAGCGUGGGGAGCAAACAGGAUUAGAUACCCUGGUAGUCCACGCCGUAAACGAUGUCGAUUUGGAGGUUGUGCCCUUGAGGCGUGGCUUCCGGAGCUAACGCGUUAAAUCGACCGCCUGGGGAGUACGGCCGCAAGGUUAAAACUCAAAUGAAUUGACGGGGGCCCGCACAAGCGGUGGAGCAUGUGGUUUAAUUCGAUGCAACGCGAAGAACCUUACCUGGUCUUGACAUCCACAGAACUUUCCAGAGAUGGAUUGGUGCCUUCGGGAACUGUGAGACAGGUGCUGCAUGGCUGUCGUCAGCUCGUGUUGUGAAAUGUUGGGUUAAGUCCCGCAACGAGCGCAACCCUUAUCCUUUGUUGCCAGCGGUUAGGCCGGGAACUCAAAGGAGACUGCCAGUGAUAAACUGGAGGAAGGUGGGGAUGACGUCAAGUCAUCAUGGCCCUUACGACCAGGGCUACACACGUGCUACAAUGGCGCAUACAAAGAGAAGCGACCUCGCGAGAGCAAGCGGACCUCAUAAAGUGCGUCGUAGUCCGGAUUGGAGUCUGCAACUCGACUCCAUGAAGUCGGAAUCGCUAGUAAUCGUAGAUCAGAAUGCUACGGUGAAUACGUUCCCGGGCCUUGUACACACCGCCCGUCACACCAUGGGAGUGGGUUGCAAAAGAAGUAGGUAGCUUAACCUUCGGGAGGGCGCUUACCACUUUGUGAUUCAUGACUGGGGUGAAGUCGUAACAAGGUAACCGUAGGGGAACCUGCGGUUGGAUCACCUCCUUACCUUAAAGAA